rnacentral:sRNA from 1 species
UUAUGGUAGCACCUGAGUUGGUGGAAA